AGGACGAACGCUGGCGGCGUGCUUAACACAUGCAAGUCGAGCGGAAAGGCCCUUCGGGGUACUCGAGCGGCGAACGGGUGAGUAACACGUGAGCAACCUGCCCUUAGCUCUGGGAUAGCUCCGGGAAAACCGGAAUUAAUACCGGAUAUUACACCGGCAGACAUCGGCUGGUGUGGAAAGAUUUAUCGGCUAAGGAUGGACUCGCGGCCUAUCAGCUUGUUGGUGGGGUAGUGGCCUACCAAGGCGACGACGGGUA
rnacentral:rRNA from 1 species